CGACUGAAGGGAUGAAAAGAGGAAAUGACUUCAUUCCCCAUGUUACUGUGCAGUGUCUCAGCAUCCAAUCACAAGGGCAGGUAAACAGGAAGGGAGAAGAAGAAGUAGGUCAUUCCCCAGCAUAGUAGAAAAGAAGCACUUUAAGUAACUGCUCAGGAUGGCUUUGGGAGUCAUCUUUAACAAUCAGAGCAAGAGAAGAUGCUUACAGCUCACCCGAGGUCAGCUGGAGCAACUACUUAGCCUUCCUGACAGUAGUACAGUGGAUUACAGCCUGAACCACAAGAGUCUCCAGGGAACAGGGUCCAGCUCUUCAGAGCCUGGUUUUGAUUGAAACCUCAUAAAGCACAGCUGACACAGUCCUGGAAGCACAUGACGAUAUUGAAUUCUACUAGACCAGUGAAACUGAUAAGUUUGGUAAGGCUUAUUCAUCAGUUGUAAUAACUGAAGCUCUCUACAAAUUGUACAAAAAGCUAAUAUGAGCGCUUUGCACUUCUGUAACUUCAUUAAUCCAAAAACCUUGGAAUGUCUAAUGACUUUAAUCAGUUACAUUCCCCCAAACUUGCAGAAUUGCAUCACAUGUGCCUAAAAAUGCACCAUCUUUGGAAGGAAACGGGACAAUACCUAACAAUUGACGGAGGAAAUGUACAGGAAUGUUUUGUCUAAGGUAAAAUAGUGCUACUGUACUUUUCUGACAAGGUUACCUGCAGCUAAUGGAGGUUGAAGCAUUUGGGGUACCCUCCUG
rnacentral:lncRNA from 1 species